ensembl:lncRNA
AGGAGAGGAGAGGAGAGGAGAGGAGAGGAGAGGAGAGGGGUGGAGAGGAGAGGAGAGGGAUGGAUGAUGAGAGGAGAGGAGAGGAGAGGAGAGGAGAGGGGUGAGGUGGAUGAUGAGAGGAGAGGAGAGGAGAGGAGAGAGGUGGAUGAUGAGAGGAGAGGAGAGGAGAGGAGAGAGGUGGAUGAUGAGAGGAGAUGGGUGGAGAGGAGAGGAGAGAGGUGGAUGAUGAGAGGAGAGGAGAGGAGAGGAGAGGGGUGGAGAGGAGAGGGGUGGAUGAUGAGAGGAGAGGAGAGGGGUGGAUGAUGAGAGGAGAGGAGAGGAGAGGGGUGGAUGAUGAGAGGAGAGGAGAGGAGAGGAGAGGGGUGGAUGAUGAGAGGAGAGGAGAGGGGU